rnacentral:rRNA from 1 species
AGCAGUCGCCGCGGUAAUACGAAGGGGGCUAGCGUUGUUCGGAAUUACUGGGCGUAAAGCGCACGUAGGCGGAUAUUUAAGUCAGGGGUGAAAUCCCAGAGCUCAACUCUGGAACUGCCUUUGAUACUGGGUAUCUUGAGUAUGGAAGAGGUGAGUGGAAUUCCGAGUGUAGAGGUGAAAUUCGUAGAUAUUCGGAGGAACACCAGUGGCGAAGGCGGCUCACUGGUCCAUUACUGACGCUGAGGUGCGAAAGCGUGGGGAGCAAACAGGAUUAGAGACCCGCGUAGUCCCUGUCUCUUAUAA